CUGCCCCUGUCAGGGGGACAACCCGCCGAAAGGCGGGCUAAACCCGCGUACAUGCCACCGGGGCAUCCCGGAGGCAGGAAAGGCUUCGGCCGGACAGGGAUGGGCAUGCGGCGCAUUAGGCAGUAGGCGGGGUAACGGCCCACCUAACCGACGAUGCGUAGGGGUUCUGAGAGGAAGGUCCCCCACACUGGUACUGAGACACGGACCAGACUCCUACGGGAGGCAGCAGUGAGGAAUAUUGGUCAAUGGUCGGGAGACUGAACCAGCCAAGCCGCGUGAGGGAUGAAGGUACAGAGUAUCGUAAACCUCUUUUGUCAGGGAACAAAGGCGGGGACGUGUCCCCGGAUGAGUGUACCUGAAGAAAAAGCAUCGGCUAACUCCGUGCCAGCAGCCGCGGUAAUACGGAGGAUGCGAGCGUUAUCCGGAUUUAUUGGGUUUAAAGGGUGCGCAGGCGGUCUGUUAAGUCAGCGGUCAAAGCCCGGGGCUCAACCCCGGCCCGCCGUUGAAACUGGCAGUCUCGAGUUGGAGAGAAGUAUGCGGAAUGCGCGGUGUAGCGGUGAAAUGCAUAGAUAUCGCGCAGAACUCCGAUUGCGAAGGCGGCAUGCCGGCUCCACACUGACGCUGAGGCACGAAAGCGUGGGUAUCGAACAGGAUUAGAUACCCUGGUAGUCCACGCAGUAAAC
rnacentral:rRNA from 1 species